rnacentral:misc_RNA from 1 species
CAACCCUCAAGCCCUGCUUGGUGUUGGGUGCCGGCACGCGCGCCUCCGGGCGCCCGCCGCUCCCGAAAUGAAUUGGCGGUCUCGUCGCAGCCUCCCUCGCGUAGUAGUAAAACAUCUCGCUUGGUGGAGUGCGGCGCGGCCACGCCGUAAAACCUCUUAAUUUUUUA